UAGUCUUGUGAGGGUCAAGAGUGAUCUUCAUUUUUGCACACGGAUGUACUUCGAGUUGAGUUUCUUUGUAUGCUCGAGUUCAAUACAAAGUUGGGAAAAGAGUUUCCUGUAAUAUUGUGCCUUUUGUUAAUGUUUAUAUUCUGUCCCUUCAUUAUAUUUUCAUUGCCUAAAUUCAUUCUAAGCUUACUACGUUGAAAGCUGCCUAAAUUAAUCGAAGUCCAAAGUUGCUGAAAUUUUGGCCGAGUGUGGGAGUAGGCUGAAGUCAAGGCGAGUCUUGGCUAUCUCGCGGUCUAUUUUUGUGAGACAUAAAACGUACCCGUGACACCUACCAUGGUGCAUGAGGGUUGAUAGAGAAUUAGGGAUUGAUUCCAGAGAGGGAGCCUGUGAAACGGCUACCACAUCCAAGGAAGGCAGCAGGCGCACAAAUUACCCAAUCCUGACACGGGGAGGUAGUGACAAUAAAUAACAAUACCGGGCUCUAUGAGUCUAGCAAUUGGAAUGAGUACAAUAUAAAUCCCUUAACGAGGAUCUAUUGGUGCGCGAGUCUGGUGCCAGCAGCCGCGGUAAUUCUAGCUCCAAUUGCGUAUAUUUAAGUUGUUACAGUUAAAAAGCUCUUAGUUGGACUUUGGAAUAGGCCGACCGGUUCGCCUUAGGUGCGCACCGGUCGUCCCGUCCCUUCUCCUAGCGAUUCUCUCCUAACCUUAAUUGGUCGGGUCGUGCCUCCGGCGCUGUUACUUUAAAGAAAUUAGAGUUCUCAAAGUAAGCCUACGUUGUGUAUACAUUACCAUGGGAUAACAUUAUAGGAUUUCGGUCCUAUUAGAUUGGCCUUCGGGAUCAGAGUAAUAAUUAACAGGGACAGUCGGGGGCAUACGUAUUUCAUAGUCAGAGGUGAAAUUCUUGGAUUUAUGAAAGACGUACAACUCCGAAAGCAUUAUCCAAGAAAGUUUUCAUUAUCAAGAUGAAAGUUCGGGGCUCAAAGACAAUCAGAUACCGUCCUAGUCUCAACCAUAAACGAGGUCGACCAGGGAUCGGCGGAUGUUGCUUUUAGGACUCUGCCGACACCUUAUGAGAAANNNNNNNNNNNNNNNNNNNNGGUUCCGGGGGGAGUAUGGUCGCAAGGCUGAAACUUAAAGGAAUUGACGGAAAGGCACCACCAAGAUUCGAGCCUAUGGCUUAAUUUAACUCAACACGGGGAAACUUACUAGGCCCAGACAUAGUAAGGAUUGACAAACUGAGAGCUCUUUUUUGAUUCUAUGGGUGGUGGUAAACGGCGGUUCUUAGUUAGUGGAGCGAUUCGUCUGGUAAAUUCCAUUAACGAACGAGACCUCAUCCUGCUAACUAGAUAUGUGGAGGUAUCCCUUCGUGGCCAGCUUUUUAGAGGGACUACGGCCUUUUAGGCCGCGGAAUUUUGAGGGAAUAACAGGUUUGUGAUGCCCUUAGAUGUUCUAGGACGCACGCGCACUAAGCUGAUGUAUUCAACGAAUUUAUAGCCUUGGCCGACAGGCUCGGGUAAUCUUUGAAAUUUCAUCAUAAUGGCGAUAGAUCAAUGCAAUUGUGGGUCUUCAACGAGGAAUUCCUAGUAAGUGCGAGUCAUCAGCUCGCAUUGACUACGUCCCUACCCUUUGUACACACUGCUCGUCGCUCCUACAGCUCAAAUGAUUUGGUGAAAUGUUUGGAUCAUUGCAAAAUGGGCGGUUAGCUUCCCGCAAUGUCGCAAAAAGUCCAUUGAACCUUAUCAUUUAGAGGAAGGAGAAGUCGUAACAAGGUUUCCGUAGGUGAACCUAAGAAGG
rnacentral:rRNA from 1 species